rnacentral:tRNA from 1 species
UACUGUUUAGCUUAAUGGUAGAGUACUCAGCCGGUAUCUGAGGAGUACGGGUUCGAAUCCCGUAGCCGUCU